AAACCAACAGGGAUUGCCUUAGUAACGGCGAGUGAAGCGGCAAAAAGCUCAAAUUUGAAAUCUGGUAGUUUUACUGCCCGAGUUGUAAUUUGAAGAACCGGUUCUUGUAGCGCGGCCUUUGUCUAUGUUCCUUGGAACAGGACGUCACAGAGGGUGAGAAUCCCGUGAGAUGGGGGCGGCGUUGCUUGUAGAGCCAGUUCGACGAGUCGAGUUGUUUGGGAAUGCAGCUCUAAGUGGGUGGUAAAUUCCAUCUAAAGCUAAAUAUUGGCGAGAGACCGAUAGCGAACAAGUACAGUGAUGGAAAGAUGAAAAGAACUUUGAAAAGAGAGUGAAAAAGUACGUGAAAUUGUUGAAAGGGUAAGGGUCAUUUGAUCGGGACUUGGUGGGGCAGUACUGGCGUCCACUUGUUGGGCGUUUACUGCUGCUCUACUGGGCCAGCAUCGAUUCGUGUGGCAGGACAACUGGCUGGGAACGUGGCUGCUUCUUUGCAGUGUUAUAGCCCAGCUUUUCUACUG
rnacentral:rRNA from 1 species